UUCACUGCUCCCCCUUUCCUCUUUCAUGUAAAACGUACGUAGCAGCAGCAGAGAGGAAUUAGCAGAAAUUGAAUCACAAAGCCAAGAAAGGAAAUGCGUGCGAGAGAGGAACAACAGAUUUUAAUUCGUGUUCGAUCCCCAAUGCCAUCCUAUCUUUUCCCUUUCGCUGGCUAUAAGAACAGAGCGGAGAGCUGUAAAGGGAAUUCGAAUCGGAGAAAAGAGAAGAAGAAUCCAUUAAGCGAGAAGAAGAAGAAAACAGAAUGAGUUUUAUCAUGACGGUUCGAAUCGAUGAAGAUAAACACACCUACGUGGUGAGCGAGGGCGAGAAGGUGAGCAUUGAGAUUGAACCUAAAUUGUCUAAACAACAAAUCAGACGUCGGCGACGCCGUCAAGAAUCUCAACUGCAAGUCGAGCAACAUCGGAUUGGCCGCCUCAACCUCUCGGAUGAUCAUGGCCACACCCAAUGGGGCACCCACGCCACAGAUCCCUCAAAUUAGGGCAACUUUAUGCUUCUGCUUGCUGCUCAAUUACUUCGUCGUUAAUUAAAGAUAACUAUUAAGGGUUAAUGUUACUGCUGUUUCUGUGGUUAAUCGAAUUUCAGUUUUGCUUCAAA